UCGUACAACAGGGGGUGCCGGGGCUGUCGCUGACCUUUUAAGGUCGUGCACGCCUCGAGCGCUCUCACUUACAAUCCAACUCACCCUUUGUGCAUCACCGCGCGGGCUCCCUUCGAAAGAGGGGAUGCUUGCGUUUUCACACGUACACACAAUUACAUAGAAUGUUCACACUUGCGAUCACACGCAAAUCAAUA
rnacentral:misc_RNA from 1 species